GACGGAGGGUGCAAGCGUUGUUCGGAAUUACUGGGCGUAAAGGGCGCGUAGGCGGUCUGUUAAGUUCGGUGUGAAAGCCCCCGGCUCACCUGGGGAACUGCGCCGGAAACCGACAGACUCGAGUACCGGAGAGGAGGGUGGAAUUCCUGGUGUAGCGGUGAAAUACGUAGAGAUUGGGAAGAACACCAGUGGCGAAGGCGGCUAUCUGGACGGUUACUGACGCUAAGACGCGAAAGCGUGGGGAGCAAACAGG
rnacentral:rRNA from 1 species